CCCCAUCCCCCGAUUCCUCUCCCUCUCACUUUUCCCUCGUCUACCGCCGCCACUGGCGACCUCGCCGCAGCCGCCGCGACCACCAACGCCCUCCCCAACGGCCACCCCUUCUCUCCUCCCCUUACCUUCUCCUUACCAUCGGCGACCUCCUCCCCUCUCCCUCGCACCAGAUCGAGCAGCAGGCCGGGAUCCGAAGCAGCCUCAGAUCCGGCACGCCCUAAGCGAUGGUUUCCGUUGAGAACGCCAUGGACAAGGUGCUCUGGCCCUGUUGCUGCAGCCAUGGACAAGGUGCCCUCCCCAUCUCUCUCUUCUCUCUCUGUUGGAUUCGUAUUGGAAGCAGGGUACUCCAUGUGGUUCUUUACCCCAUAUAUGCUUUAUUGAUCUAUAUUUAUUGAGUAAAUGUUCUUCCUUUUUGACUGAUGGUUCAUUGAUAUUAAGGAUUUCUCUGAUUUGAGUUUUUUUUUUGAACAAGAUGUGUGCGGAUCGGAUGAAGAAGAGAAGAGGAAGGAUCUUGAGGAAGAGUGAAGAACAAGGUGAUCUCUCUCUCUGUCUAUCUGAUUUGCUUAUGUUAUUUUCAUGUGUUGCACUGCCCAUCUCUCCACGGGAUUGAGCUGACAUGGUCAUGGCACUGAUGCAAUUACUCGGUGCAAACCCCUUCUUGUUGCUUGCAAAGGCAGAUCCCACGACCUCACAGAAGUUAUUAGUCUUCACCUGCAUUUGCUUUUGGCUUAAAAUUCAUAUAUAUAUAUAUAUAUAUAUAUAUAUGAGUAGGUGACAGUGAUAUCCUGAAGUGCAGAGUGGCUGGGCUAAUUUACUAAUGAAACUCACUAAUAUAUCCUUGGAUGUCUUGAUCAUGAUAUAACCUCCAAUUAAGCGUGCCUAAAAGAGGCAUCCGUUUCCCUUCCCAUGACAAGAGAAAUUUUCCGCCUUUUUGUUGCUGUACAGCACCCCGUGUUUCUUCUUUAGGUAUUAAGGUAGCAGGCAGGACAGAAUUGAGAUGGAGAAAUUGAGGAUGAUUAGUUUUGUGAUUGACUGGUUUGUUCGUUUGGUUAGGAAACAGAACAACAUUCUAUGCAACUUUCAAAGAAUAAACUUUUCCUUAUCUUUAGCGCAUGUACAGAAGAUCAUAAGCAUGCAAAAACAUGGUCUUGCUUAUUUUACAAUAGUUUCUUUGUGAAUAAAUGAGAUGUGGAAUCUACAGAAAAUUGAUAUUUUAGUUGUAUAGUAUAGCAGGAAAAUCAUAACACGACCGUCUUCAUCGGGGAUGGGCACGGUGAGAACUGAGAAGUGGCAACGCGUGAGCACAUGUUCGGCAAGGAAGGUGAUCCGCAUGCCAUCUGCUGCAAGGUUGUGAUAACGUCGAGUUCGUGUUACCCAAAGCACACAGCGCAAGCGGGACAAGCUAUAACAGCUAGUGUUCUUCUCUGUCGGUCCUGAGGUGCAGUCCCUGAACACAUCUCUCUAAAAAUUUCUCUCACCCACUCUGAUUCAGUUCUUCCCUUUUUUAUGUGCUACUUUGGUUCCUAUAGAGGCCUCCUCUUAAUUAGACAUUUGGUAAGUAUGGGGAUAUAUAGCUACAACUGGCCCUCAUGAAGAAACCAAAAUCAUGUCUUCCUCUCUUCAACAUAAACACCGAAAUCAUUCUGGACAGAUCUGUUCUAUAAUAUAAAUCUUAAUCCACUUCACCAAAUCUAGCAGAUGAGAACAAUAUGAAUAUAAGAAGUAAGUUAUCUAAUAGUUCCAUUUUGGGACCAAACGCUGGUUCUGCCUAUAAGUAGGUUUCUUCUUACAGUAUAUCUGAAAGAGUUAGUUAUCAUAUUUAGAAUGUAUAGCGGCCAAAGUAGUUAUUUCAUCGUUCUCUUUCCAAUAUAAUUCACGAUUGCGUACCCUGAUAUGUUUAGUUCCUUUCCAAAACAAUUCGUAAAGUAGCUUUAUUCACUGUGGUUACAUGUUUACUCUUUACAAACAUUUGUAUCCUAUUCUGAUGCCUCUGUUCUUUCUGCAGUUCCUGGAGUUGCUGAAGAAUUUGAUAGAAGUCAAGGUUAAAAUUUGAACAGGGUAGGUGUCUACAACACGAAAGAAAAUGAAGAUAUAUACUUGCAUUAGAUGAAAGUGGCACAACAACAACAACAACACACAACAGAAACAUAGUGUAUCAAGAAGCGUCGGCUGCCUGUAGGAGAUAUUUUGCCCUGCAGUUUCAGUUUCAGGUAUACUCAGUUAUUUGAAGCACUUUCACAUGGGAGUUUCAACAUUUUAUUCUCCUUAUUCUGUGUACAUGUGCAUCAGAUGAACUUUACAGAGACAUCUAAUCAUUUCCCACCGGUGCAUGUUUUGAAAAAAAAGGUAUGUGAAUCUAGCUUUGUAUGUCCAGAGUAGUUGUACUUUUGUUUGUG
rnacentral:lncRNA from 1 species